UGAUUGUUGCAAAGAGUAGAUCGAGAAGCAUUGACAUGGGUUUUUGGGCAAACAAACAAAGUCAAAACCAAAACCGAAACCGAAACAAAACCAGACCUAACCAGACCAGACCAUGGCCAAUGACGUGACAGCAGCCCAUUUACUGGCGACAGGUUGGUCAUUUGGCUUAUAUGGUGCGUAGGAAAUUAACCUCGCCUUGGGUUAUGUGUAUGUACAUGCACAUAUGUAUAGUUACAGCCCCCAGUUGCCCAGACUUAAUCAUGCGCAAUUCCUUGCAGGCAAUUCGACAAUUUCAGCAACUUUGACAGUUCUGUUACACCUACCGAAAAAAGAAGAAAAUAAAGAUAAAGAAAACAGAA